rnacentral:rRNA from 1 species
GGGAUUGCCCUAGUAACGGCGAGUGAAGCGGCAACAGCUCAAAUUUGAAAUCUGGCGCAAGCCCGAGUUGUAAUUUGUAGAGGAUGCUUCUGGGUAGCGACCGGUCUAAGUUCCUUGGAACAGGACGUCAUAGAGGGUGAGAAUCCCGUAUGUGACCGGCCCGCACCCUUUACGUAGCUCCUUCGACGAGUCGAGUUGUUUGGGAAUGCAGCUCUAAAUGGGAGGUAAAUUUCUUCUAAAGCUAAAUACCGGCCAGAGACCGAUAGCGCACAAGUAGAGUGAUCGAAAGAUGAAAAGUACUUUGGAAAGAGAGUUAAAAAGCACGUGAAAUUGUUGAAAGGGAAGCGCCUGCAAUCAGACUUCGCGGCAGUGUUCCGCCGGUCUUCUGACCGGUUCAUUCUCUGUCGCGAGGCCAUCAUCGUCUCGGCCCGCUGGAUAAGACCUUGGGAAUGUAGCUCACCUUCGGGGGAGUGUUAUAGCUUAGGGUGAUGCAGCGCGGCUGGGGCGAGGUCCGCGCUUCGGCAAGGAUGAUGGCGUAAUGGUUGUCGGCGGCCCGUCUUGAAACACGGACCAAGGAGUCUAACAUCUAUGCGAGUGUUCGGGUGUCAAACCCCUACGCGUAAUGAAAGUGAACGGAGGUGGGAACCGCAAGGUGCACCAUCGACCGAUCCUGAUGUCCUCGGAUGGAUUUGAGUAAGAGCAUAGCUGUUGGGACCCGAAAGAUGGUGAACUAUGCCUGAAUAGGGUGAAGCCAGAGGAAACUCUGGUGGAGGCUCGCAGCGGUUCUGACGUGCAAAUCGAUCGUCAAAUUUGGGUAUAGGGGCG